UUAUAUGGAGAGUUUGAUCCUGGCUCAGGACGAACGCUGGCGGCGUGCCUAAUACAUGCAAGUCGAGCGGACGGAUGGGAGCUUGCUCCCUGAAGUCAGCGGCGGACGGGUGAGUAACACGUGGGCAACCUGCCUGUAAGACUGGGAUAACUUCGGGAAACCGGAGCUAAUACCGGAUAAUGCAUUUCCCCUCAUGGGGAUAUGCUGAAAGAUGGUUUCGGCUAUCACUUACAGAUGGGCCCGCGGCGCAU
rnacentral:rRNA from 1 species